rnacentral:rRNA from 1 species
AUUGAACGCUGGCGGCAGGCCUAACACAUGCAAGUCGAGCGGAUGAGGGGAGCUUGCUCCUGGAUUCAGCGGCGGACGGGUGAGUAAUGCCUAGGAAUCUGCCUGGUAGUGGGGGAUAACGUCCGGAAACGGGCGCUAAUACCGCAUACGUCCUGAGGGAGAAAGUGGGGGAUCUUCGGACCUCACGCUAUCAGAUGAGCCUAGGUCGGAUUAGCUAGUUGGUGGGGUAAAGGCCUACCAAGGCGACGAUCCGUAACUGGUCUGAGAGGAUGAUCAGUCACACUGGAACUGAGACAAGGUCCAGACUCCUACGGGAGGCAGCAGUGGGGAAUAUUGGACAAUGGGCGGAAGCCUGAUCCAGCCAUGCCGCGUGUGUGAAGAAGGUCUUCGGAUUGGAAAGCACUUUAAGUUGGGAGGAAGGGCAGUAAGUUAAUACCUUGCUGUUUUGACGUUACCAACAGAAUAAGCACCGGCUAACUUCGUG